GUUCCAGUGGCGCAAUCGGUUAGCGCGCAGUACUUAUAUAACAGUACUCGGAGAAAUGCGGAGGUUUGUGAGUUCGAGCCUCACCUUGGAGCA
rnacentral:tRNA from 1 species